rnacentral:lncRNA from 1 species
AAUGAUUUCCCAGUUGGCAAGGACAGCCAGAGCCAGCUGCCCUCUCCAUGGCAGGACAGGACCAACGAGGUUUUCAAAUGAUGAGGGACCCAAGGGCUGCGGAGCACCCCACCUGCCCCCGAGACCCAGCCCCACGCUGCCCACUUUGUACCCGGUCAGCAGCACCCACUCCUCUCCUAGUCCUGACGUGGCGGAGCUGUGGACAGGAGGGACAGUAGCCUGGGAGUCAGCUCUGGAGGGUGGCCUGGGGCCUGUGGAUAGUGAACUGUGGCCCACUGUUAGGGUGGCUUCUCUCCCUCCUCCUCCCAUAGCCCCUUUGCCAGAGAUGAAGGGCAAGGACAGUCCCCUGCAGCCGGGGACUCCCACCUUCCCAACCCCAGGACCAGGCUUAUGGGACCUUCAGACUGUGGCAGUGUGGGGGACCUUCCUCCCCACAACCCUGACUGACCUCGGGCACACGCCUGAGCCUGCCCUGAACCCAGGACCCAAGGGUCAGCCUGAGUCCCUCAGCCCUGAGGUGCCCCUGAGCUCUAGGCUGCUGUCCAUGCCAGCUUGGGACAGCCCCGCCAACAGCCACAGAGCCCCUGAGACCCAGCCACUGCCUCCCAGCCUGGCUGAAGCGGGGCCCCCCACGGACCCGUUGGUUGUCAGGAACGCCGGCUGACAAGUGGGAAACUGGAGCGAGGCAAGUGGUGUGGGCUGGGUGGGCAGGGAGUUUGCGCAGGACCUUGGUGACUAUUUCCUCAUCUGAAAAUGAGCAGAGUGGGACGCAGGCGCCGUCUGUCUCGCCUUCCUUGGGGCGGGGGUUCCCAGGAUUAGGGGAAUGAGGGGACCUGGGGCCCAUUCCUGGGCAGCACAGGGGGCCUCAGGGAAGGCAGGGGCAGGCACACUCUGGCAGCACAGCAUGCCCCAGGAUGGAGCUGGCUCAGACAGCUGUGCAGUGGGGAGGGUCCCUGUGUGGCCACCAGGCCCAGUCCUGCCCAGCAGGCAGCAGCUUCCCUGAGGCUCUGUCUGGCUCCUCCAGGCUGGACUCAGCCCACUGCUACCUGGCUCUGCCCUCAGUGGCUCCACCCUCCUUUGGCAGUGACCUGCAGACGUCUGAGCUGCAUGAAAGAAGCUGGCUAGUGCCCCCUCCCUGGGUCCCCAGAUGGUCACUGCAGGAGAAGCAAGCUUCUGUUCAGAUUCCUAAUUUUGGGGUGGGAAGGGGCAGGCUGAGGCCCACAGGGCUUGUUUUGCGCGGGGAUAGGCAGCGAUUUGGCUGCUGGUACCAGGACCCAGCCUUCCUUCCCUGGUGCCUCUGGGAAGCGACGAGGCUGGUCAGGAUAGCUGGUCAGGGGUGCCCACAGGGUCUCCUCCCCCGAACCUCUGCACCAAUGACACUGGCACACAGGCCCUUUGUCCCAUGUGAGCAGGGACGGCUGGUUGCUGGGGGGAUUUGACUUUUCAUUCUCAUGGUCUUCCUGGGAGGUGGGUGAAGGAGCCUAUUUUGCAAAUAAGGAAACUGAGGCCCAGAAGAGGGCCCCUGUCUUGCUGAGGUCUUGCUAGCCUAGGUGGGUAGUUUCCUGGCUGUGGAGGCCUGGCGAGGAUGGGCUCUGCCUGGCUUUCACGGGUCUGUGCCCCGCAGUGCUCCACCACCUGUGGCCUGGGUGCCCUCUGGAGGCCGGUGUGCUGUAGCUCCAGCCGGGAUGAGGACUGCGACCCCGCUGGCCGGCCCCAGCCUGCCCGCCGCUGCCACCUGUGGCCCUGUGCCACCUGGCACUCAGGCAACUGGAGUAAGGUGCAUGAGGAUGGAGCCAGGACAGGCAUCCCCAGGGCAUGGGAUGGAGCCCUGGUUCCCCACGGCCUGUGUUCCGAGAGCGGCAGGGAAGGGGAGGGCUCCAGGCUGCAUGUCUAUGUGCCUGAUCGCACCGGAUUCCGAAUCUCUUGGGAGUCAUCUCAUCUUUGUCUGGCUUGGCCUGUCUCCUUUCCUCUGUAUCUUUGACCCCAUCUGGACUUGUUCCUCCCUUUCUCUGUCUGUCCCAGCCCAUGGCAGCCCCUGGCCAUGCCACCUUUUGCCUGGGGCCUGCCAGCCUUGGCCUCUCGCUGGGGCUCUUCAGGGAUUUGCCCCCGGCUGGGGCGUGGGUCUGAUGCCUUUCCUGCCACACGCCUCACGGGGUCACGCCUGUGGGCCUGCACGUGGGGAUGUGUCCACACAAGUCUCUCGGUCCCCAGUGCUCCCACAGCUGUGGCAGAGGUUCCUCAGUGUGGGACAUGCAGCAUGUGGACACAUGGGACCUCUGGCCACUGUGGCCCUUCCAUUGUCAGCCUGGACCUGCCAAGCUGCCUGUGCACUGGCCCUGCGGGGCCCAGCCCUGCCUCAGCUGGUACAUGUCUUCCUGGAGGGAGUGCUCCAAGGCCUGUGGCGGUGGUGAGCAGCAGCGUCUGGUGACCUGCCCAGAGCCAGACCUCUGCGAGGAGGCACUGAGACCCAACACCACCCGGCCCUGCAACACCCACCCCUGCACACAGUGGGUGGUGGGGCCCUGGGGCCAGUGCUCAGGCCCCUGUGGUGGUGGCAUCCAGUGGUCACACACUGGUCAAGUGUGUCAACACCCAGACGGGGCUACCCGAGGAAGACAGUGACCAGUGUGGCCACGAGGCCUGGCCUUGUGAGCUCCCGGCUGUGUGGCACCGAGGAUUGUGAGCCCGUCGAGCCUCCCC